rnacentral:rRNA from 1 species
AUGAUGGUGUGCAGAGAUUACCUGAUCAAUAAAGUAAUCCCUGCCAUUCAAGACAAAUGGCCUGACGGUGACGAGGACACAACGAUCUUAAUUCAACAAGAUAAUGCAACACCGCAUGUCCUCCCUAAUGAUGCUGGUUUUCUAGAAGCCGUGGCACAGACAGAUCUGGAUAUUCGAUUAUUGCAACAACCACCGAACAACCCUGAGCUCAAUGUUCUAGAUCUUUGUUUCCACUGCUCCCUCCAAUCCCUAACCGACUGCAGAGCGCCUAUGAAUAUACAGGAACUGGUUCAGGGUGUAGAGGAGGAGUUUGAGAACUACGAUCCCCAUAAGUUGUUCAAAAGCUUUAUGACGUUGCAAGCAGUCAUGGUGGAAGUGAUGAAAGAUCAAGGAGGAAACAACUACAAGAUACCGCAUCUGCAUAAGGAAUGUCUACAGAGUGCUGGAGAGGAAAUAACCCGUGUAUACUGCAGUCCGGAGCUAAUUACU